rnacentral:rRNA from 1 species
AGCGAACGCUGGCGGCAGGCCUAACACAUGCAAGUCGAACGAAGUCUUCGGACUUAGUGGCGGACGGGUGAGUAACACGUGGGAACGUGCCUUUAGGUUCGGAAUAACUCAGGGAAACUUGUGCUAAUACCGAAUGUGCCCUUCGGGGGAAAGAUUUAUCGCCUUUAGAGCGGCCCGCGUCUGAUUAGCUAGUUGGUGGGGUAAUGGCCCACCAAGGCUACGAUCAGUAGCUGGUCUGAGAGGAUGACCAGCCACAUUGGGACUGAGACACGGCCCAAACGCCUACGGGAGGCAGCAGUGGGGAAUCUUGCGCAAUGGGCGAAAGCCUGACGCAGCCAUGCCGCGUGGAUGAUGAAGGUCUUAGGAUUGUAAAAUCCUUUCACCGGUGAAGAUAAUGACUGUAGCCGGAGAAGAAGCCCCGGCUAACUUCGUGCCAGCCGCCGCAGUAAAAC